rnacentral:rRNA from 1 species
CCUACGGGAGGCAGCAGUGAGGAAUAUUGGUCAAUGGACGCGAGUCUGAACCAGCCAAGUAGCGUGAAGGAUGACGGCCCUAGGAGUUGUAAACUUCUUUUAUACAGGAAUAAACUGAGGCACGUGUGCCUUUUUGUAUGUAGCUUAUGAAUAAGGAUCGGCUAACUCCGUGCCAGCAGCCGCGGUAAUACGGAGGAUCCGAGCGUUAUCCGGAGUUAUUGGGUUUAAAGGGAGAGUAGGUGGGUUGUUAAGUGAGUGGUGAAAGUCUGCGGCUCAACCUCGAAAUUGCAAUUGAUACUGGCAGGCUAGAGUGCAGUUGAGGUAGGCGGAAUUCGUGGUGUAGCGGUGAAAUGCUUAGAUAUCACGAAGAACUCCGAUUGCGAAGGCAGCUUACUAAACUGCCACUGACAUUGAUGCUCGAAAGUGUGGGUAUCAAACAGGAUUAGAUACCCGGGUAGUC